AAAGCAUCCUCAAGCAACUUGCUUGGUCAUGGGAGAAGAUGGCUUCCAUCUCUCUUGGAAAUCCUCAGCAGUAGGCCUUGCAACCUCCAGUGUGAUAAAACCUAUUCACUUGACGGUUAUAAAAAGUCAUCCAGCUGUAUAGAAGCCCCUCCAGCAUAAAUCUACAU
rnacentral:misc_RNA from 1 species